AAUCAACGCUGGCGGCGUGCCUCAGACAUGCAAGUCGAGCGGGGUUUUCGGACCUAGCGGCGGACGGGUGAGUAAUGCGUAGGAAGCUACCCGAUAGAGGGGGAUACCAGUUGGAAACGACUGUUAAUACCGCAUAAUGUCUACGGACCAAAGUGUGGGACCUUCGGGCCACAUGCUAUCGGAUGCGCCUACGUGGGAUUAGCUAGUUGGUGAGGUAAUGGCUCACCAAGGCGACGAUCCCUAGCUGGUUUGAGAGGAUGAUCAGCCAGACUGGAACUGAGACACGGUCCAGACUCCUACGGGAGGCAGCAGUGGGGAAUAUUGGACAAUGGGCGCAAGCCUGAUCCAGCCAUGCCGCGUGUGUGAAGAAGGCCUUCGGGUUGUAAAGCACUUUCAGUAGGGAGGAAGCGUUGUGUGUUAAUAGUACACAGCGUUGACGUUACCUACAGAAGAAGCACCGGCUAACUCUGUGCCAGCCGCCGCAGUAAUAC
rnacentral:rRNA from 1 species